CCUACGGGAGGCAGCAGUGAGGAAUAUUGGUCAAUGGGCGUACGCCUGAACCAGCCAAGUCGCGUGAGGGAAGACGGCCCUAUGGGUGGUAAACCUCUUUUGUCAGGGAGCAAGUGGCGCUACGUGUAGCGUUAUCGAUAGGACCUGUAGAAAAAGCAGCGGCGACCUCCGUGCCAGCAGCCGCGGUAAUCAGGAGGAUGCGAGCGUGAUCGGGAUUCAUUGGGUUAAAAGGGGGAGUAGGCGGAAUGCCAAGUCAGCGGUAAAAUCGCGGGGCUCAACCUCGCUCCGCCGUUGAAACUGGCGUUCUUGAGUGGGCGAGAGGUCUGCGGAAUGCGUGGUGUAGCGGUGAAAUGCAUAGAUAUCACGCAGAACUCCGAUUGCGAAGGCAGCAUACCGGCGCCCAACUGACGCUGAAGCACGAAAGCGUGGGUAUCGAACAGGAUUAGAUACCCUGGUAGUC
rnacentral:rRNA from 1 species